AGUGCUCUGCCAAAAUUUGUAGAAACAAACAACGUAUAAAACCUUUGUGAUUAAGAAUGCAAUAUGACAUAACAAAUUAUAUUCAUAUUCUGUUAAUUAUUAACUUUGAGAAUUUUAAUGAAACUUAAUUGUUCUAUAAUGUCAUUAGAUGUUCUGUGAACGAAAUGGAGCUGAAAUACUUCGUUCGCAGAGCAUUCUAUUCCCUGUACUUUUGAAAUGUACAAUGAUGUUAUGGCAUAUGGGGCCCAGACAAUCACUUUCAGAAGUUGUUGGGACACAUGUAGUUUUAGUUUGUAAGUGGAUCAUUAUAGUUUUUUAC